GAUGAACGCUGGCGGCGUGCCUAAUACAUGCAAGUCGAGCGAACGGACGAGAAGCUUGCUUCUCUGAUGUUAGCGGCGGACGGGUGAGUAACACGUGGAUAACCUAUCUAUAAGACUUGGAUAACUUCGGGAAACCGGAGCUAAUACCGGAUAAUAUUUUGAACCGCAUGGUUCAAAAGUGAAAGACGGUCUUUCUGUCACUUAUAGACGGAUCCGCGCUGCAUUAGCUAGUUGGUAAGGUAACGGCUUACCAAGGCAACGAUGCAUAGCCGACCUGAGAGGGUGAUCGGCCACACUGGAGCUGAGACGCGGUCCAGACUCCUACGGGAGGCACCAGUCGGGAACCUUCCGCAGUGGGCGAAAGCCUGGCGGAGCAACGCCGCGUGAGUGAUGAAGGUCUUCGGAUCGUAAAGCUCUGUUUUUAGGGAAGAACAUAUGUGUAUGUAACUGAGCACAUCUUGACGGUACCUAAUCAGAAAGCCCCGGCUAACUACGUG
rnacentral:rRNA from 1 species